rnacentral:rRNA from 1 species
AUUGAACGCUGGCGGCAUGCUUUACACAUGCAAGUCGAACGGUAACAGGGAGCUUGCUCCGCUGACGAGUGGCGAACGGGUGAGUAAUGCGUCGGAACGUGCCGAGCAGUGGGGGAUGACGCAUCGAAAGGUGUGCUAAUACCGCAUACGUACUGAGGUAGAAAGUGGGGGACCUUCGGGCCUCACGCUAUUCGAGCGGCCGACGUCUGAUUAGCUAGUUGGUGAGGUAAAGGCUCACCAAGGCGACGAUCAGUAGCGGGUCUGAGAGGAUGAUCCGCCACACUGGGACUGAGACACGGCCCAGACUCCUACGGGAGGCAGCAGUGGGGAAUUUUGGACAAUGGGCGCAAGCCUGAUCCAGCCAUGCCGCGUGUCUGAAGAAGGCCUUCGGGUUGUAAAGGACUUUUGUCCGGGAGCAAAUGCUGGUGGCUAACAUCCACCGGAGCUGUGAGUACCGGAAGAAUAAGCACCGGCUAACUACGUGCCAGCCGCCGCCGUAAAAC